rnacentral:lncRNA from 1 species
GUGUAGGGGGGAGCCAGGGAAGCCUGGAGGGAGAGGUCGGCUUGGAGCCUCCUCCCUGUCCUCGUCCUGCCCUGCCGUGGCCACGGACUCCCCCGUACCCGGCCGACCGUGAAGCAAUCUGCGGUGCUGCGGUCUGGAACUCCGUCUGAGCUUUGGUGUCUGAGCCCAAGAACUGCUCGGAUGUGGGGUGUCUCCAGCGCUAGCGUCCAUGAGACUAGGAGCAGACCAGAGCCCUGAUGCACCAGGGCGGAGCUUAGUCCUGGAGAGAGACAGAGAGCUGC